UACGUAGGGGGCGAGCGUUGUCCGGAUUUAUUGGGCGUAAAGAGCGUGUAGGCGGCCGGUAGGUCCGUUGUGAAAACUCGAGGCUCAACCUCGAGACGUCAUGGAAACCAUCUGGCUAGAGUCCGGAAGAGGAGAGUGGAAUUCCUGGUGUAGCGGUGAAAUGCGCAGAUAUUCAGGAAGAACACCCUAUGGCGAAGGCAGCUCUCUGGGG
rnacentral:rRNA from 1 species